AGCCGAAACGCCCCACGGGGCGUCGCUGCGGGGUGGUUCCCGCAGCCUGAUGAUGGCAGCCACAC
rnacentral:hammerhead_ribozyme from 1 species